CGCCGGCCUGGGCCGGCCGGCGUCCGGCGUGGUCGGCCGGUGGUGGCUCGGGUCGUUCGGGCUGGCCGCCGCCGUC
rnacentral:tRNA from 1 species